rnacentral:rRNA from 1 species
GACGAACGCUGGCGGCGUGCCUAAUACAUGCAAGUAGAACGCUGAAGGAGGAGCUUGCUCUUCUGGAUGAGUUGCGAACGGGUGAGUAACGCGUAGGUAACCUGCCUGGUAGCGGGGGAUAACUAUUGGAAACGAUAGCUAAUACCGCAUAACAGUAGAUGCUGCAUGACAUUUACUUAAAAGGUGCAAUUGCAUCACUACCAGAUGGACCUGCGUUGUAUUAGCUAGUUGGUGGGGUAACGGCUCACCAAGGCGACGAUACAUAGCCGACCUGAGAGGGUGAUCGGCCACACUGGGACUGAGACACGGCCCAGACUCCUACGGGAGGCAGCAGUAGGGAAUCUUCGGCAAUGGACGGAAGUCUGACCGAGCAACGCCGCGUGAGUGAAGAAGGUUUUCGGAUCGUAAAGCUCUGUUGUAAGAGAAGAACGAGUGUGAGAGUGGAAAGUUCACACUGUGACGGUAGCUUACCAGAAAGGGACGGCUAACUACGUG